rnacentral:rRNA from 1 species
UACGGAGGGUGCGAGCGUUGUCCGGAAUCACUGGGCGUAAAGGGCGCGUAGGCGGCCUGAUAAGUAGGGGGUGAAAUCCUGCGGCUUAACCGCAGGGCUGCCUUCUAAACUGUCAGGCUAGAGCACGGUAGAGGCAGAUGGAAUUCCCGGUGUAGCGGUGGAAUGCGUAGAGAUCGGGAAGAACAUCAGUGGCGAAGGCGGUCUGCUGGGCCGUUGCUGACGCUGAGGCGCGAAAGCAUGGGGGAGCGAACAGG